UUCUACGGGUGCAACGUCGGCGGCUCAGUGUAUGUUCCAGUUGGAAGCCUAUAAGCGCCCCACCCGCCAUUAACAGUGGUGGAAACUGUCACGCACUCGACGGGCAAAGGAGCGUUUCGGUCAAUGGCGGCAUCUGCGUGCCGCCUGGGUCCGCGGUGAGCGGGGGAAAUGCGAACGGAAGAUCACGUAAGAGCCGUACAGCCCGCAGCUGGACGGCUUUACCGGCUGUCACUAGAAGUGCUCGCACGAUGAAUCUGCUACCGGCAAGGCCGGUUGCCUCGUGUCUUGUCAUAAGUGCUGCGCUUUUGCCGCUGAACUUCACCGAGGCAAUAGGCAGGAGGUGUCUAUCGGGCGAGACUUAUCAAGACUGUGCAAGUCGCGACUGCGUUGAGCAAACAUGCAUGCGAAUGACACGGCCAGAAAAUUGCACCAUCGAAUGUGUGUCGGGCUGCUUCUGUGGGGAACGACGGUAUCGAAACAAGAAAGGACGAUGUGUGACCUUCAGCGAGUGCUCUGAGGAACGCUGAUUCGAACCAAGAGUAAUGCACGUCACACAUGAAAAGGUCCCUACAAUGUGAACAAGAGAAUACAUGUCACUUUUGGGAAUAAAUACAAAUAUCUGAAGUUCUGAAAGUCUAAUAGAA